UAUCCCCCGGAAGUCCCAUCUUUUUCCCCCGGAAGUCCCCCCACCCCCCCGGAAGUUUAUUCCCGGAAGUCCCACCUCUUCACCCCGGAAGUCCCUUCCCGGAAGUCCCACCUCCUCACCCCGGAAGUCCCUUUCCGGAAGUCCCUUCUAUCCCGGAAGUAACCCUCCCGGAAGUCCCUCCCCAUUCCCGGAAGUGACCACCCCGGAAGUCACUCCUAUCCCGGAAGUGACCCCCCCCGGAAGUCCCUCCCCAUUCCCGGAAGUGACUCCCCCCGGAAGUCCCUCCCCUUCCCGGAAGUCCCCCCCACCCCCCGGAAGUCCCAUCUUUUUCCCCCGGAAGUCCCCCCACCCCCCGGAAGUCCCUUCCCGGAAGUCCCACCUCCUCACCCCGGAAGUGACCCUCCCGGAAGUCUCUUCUAUCCCGGAAGUGACCCUCCCGGAAGUCCCUCCCCAUUCCCGGAAGUGACCACCCCGGAAGUCACUCCUAUCCCGGAAGUGACCCUCCCGGAAGUCCCUCCCCAUUCCCGGAAGUGACCACCCCGGAAGUCCCUCCCCAUUCCCGGAAGUGACCACCCCGGAAGUCCCUCCCCUUCCCGGAAGUGACUCCAUUUCCGCCGGAAGUCCCGCCCACCGUAGUCAGACCAGGACGAAUAGAGGCACUGUGAUUGGUCGGGGCUGAAGACGACGUCCAAGAUGGCCCAGCCCACAUCGCGGCCCCGCCAGCACCGCAACCAGCGCAGCUCCGACCCACGGCACGAGUACAGCCUCAAGGUCUGGUCUGGAAGGAAAACGGGCCCAAAAUUGGCCAAAAAUGGGGGAUUUUAGCCCAAAAUUGGGGCCUAAAUUGAGUAGAGGCUCAGUGUACGAUCUGGAAUGAAAAAGGCCCCAAAAUUGGCCAAAAAUUGGGGUUUUUAGCCCAAAAUUGGGGCCUAAAUUGAGUAGAGGCUCAGUGUAUGAUCUGGAAUGAAAAAGGACCCAAAAUUGGCCAAAAAUUGGGGAUUUUAGCCCAAAAUUGGGGCCAAAAGUUGAGUAGAGGCUCAGUGUAUGAUCUGGAACCAAAAUGGCCCCAAAAUUGGCCAAAAAUUGGGGUUUUUAGCCCAAAAUUGGGGCCUAAAUUGAGUAGAGGCUCAGUGUAUGAUCUGGAAUGAAAAAGGCCCCAAAAUUGGCCAAAAAUUGGAGAUUUUAGCCCAAAAUUGAGGCCUAAACUUGAGAAGAAGGGCUCAGUGUAUGAUCUGGAACCAAAAUGGCCCCAAAAUUGGCCAAAAAUUGGGGUUUUUAGCCCAAAAUUGAGGCCUAAAUUGACUAGAGGCUCAGUGUAUGAUCUGGAACCAAAAUGGCCCCAAAAUUGGCCAAAAAUUGAGGAUUUUAGCCCAAAAUUGGGGCCUAAAUUGAGUAGAGGCUCAGUGUAUGAUCUGGAAUGAAAAAGGCCCCAAAAUUGGCCAAAAAUUGGGGUUUUUAGCCCAAAA
rnacentral:lncRNA from 1 species